rnacentral:rRNA from 1 species
AGUCUGGUGCCAGCAGCCGCGGUAAUUCCAGCUCCAAUAGCGUAUAUUAAAAUUGUUGCAGUUAAAACGCUCGUAGUUGAACUUCAAGGGUAUUAUUAUUUUAAGUAACUCACUUGGCGAGAAUCUUGGCUCCGCCUCGAUAUCUUCAUGCCUUGUUGUAGUUCUUUUAAUUACAGACCCUUUGAGAGCCCAAUGAUUUAUCACUGGGUUUCUCGUUACUUUGAGUAAAUUAGAGUGUUCAAAGCAAACAGUUAAAGCGUUUUCGCGUUUGAAUACUAUAGCAUGGAAUAACAAAAUUGAACAAGUCAAAUUUUUUGUUCUUUUUUCUUAUUUUGGCUUAGUUACGAUUAAUAGGAGUAGCUUGGGGGCAUUUGUAUUCAGAUGUCAGAGGUGAAAUUCUUAGAUUUUCUGGAGACAAACAACUGCGAAAGCAUUUGCCUAAAAUACUUCCAUUAAUCAAGAACGAAAGUUAAGGGAGUGAAGACGAU